CACGCAUACCAAGACGAACAUGCAAGAGAACAAUUCCUAAAGUUAGAACAGUACACCAGCAGUAAAUAAAUUAAAUAAAAGUUUUCCAAAAUCAUCUACGUGCUGCUACGAUCACGUCAACGCGAAAUUCACGAAAAACGGACUUACGACGCGAAAGUUACGCUUUUAACGGGAUUUCAACAACAAUCUAUGGACUUGUAAUUAACUAGGAAAUCUAACAGUGGUAAACCUAAACAACAGUGGUACCAACGCGAAGCUUACGAAAUUACGAAACUAACGCAACUUGAACGGGUC
rnacentral:lncRNA from 1 species